rnacentral:rRNA from 1 species
CCUACGGGGGGCUGCAGUGAGGAAUAUUGGUCAAUGGACGAGAGUCUGAACCAGCCAAGUAGCGUGAAGGAUGACUGCCCUAUGGGUUGUAAACUUCUUUUAUAAAGGAAUAAAACGAGGCACGUGUGCCUUUUUGCAUGUACUUUAUGAAUAAGGAUCGGCUAACUCCGUGCCAGCAGCCGCGGUAAUACGGAGGAUCCGAGCGUUAUCCGGAUUUAUUGGGUUUAAAGGGAGCGUAGAUGGGUUGUUAAGUCAGUUGUGAAAGUUUGCGGCUCAACCGUAAAAUUGCAAUUGAUACUGGUAGUCUUGAGUACAGUUGAGGUAGGCGGAAUUCGUGGUGUAGCGGUGAAAUGCUUAGAUAUCACGAAGAACCCCGAUUGCGAAGGCAGCUUACUAAACUGUGACUGACAUUGAUGCUCGAAAGUGUGGGUAUCAAACAGGAUUAGAUACCCCUGUAGUC